rnacentral:pre_miRNA from 1 species
GUGAGUUUCGUAGGGUUUAAAGCAACAAAACUUUGCUCGCCGACACGCGUACGCGAAAGCUCUACCCAAACUCACUAUGG